rnacentral:ncRNA from 1 species
AACCGCCGUGUACCGAACGGUACGCACGGUGGUGUGAGAGGUCGGGGAAAUCUUUAAGUUUCCCCUCCUACUCGAU